rnacentral:misc_RNA from 1 species
UCCGGCUUGUCGCCGGCGGUCUCCUUAGAGUUCCCACCAUUACGUGCUGGCAACUAAGGACAAGGGUUGCGCUCGUUGCGGGACUUAACCCAACAUCUCACGACACGAGCUGACGACAGCCAUGCAGCACCUGUCUUAGCGUUCCCGAAGGCACCAAUCCAUCUCUGGAAAGUUCAUUGGAUGUCAAGGCCUGGUAAGGUUCUUCGCGUUGCUUCGAAUUAAACCACAUGCUUCACCGCUUGUGCGGGCCCCCGUCAAUUCAUUUGAGUUUUAACCUUGCGGCCGUACUCCCCAGGCGGGAUGCUUAAUGCGUUAGCUGCGCCACCAACAAGCAUGCUUGCUGACGGCUAGCAUCCAUCGUUUAAGGCGUGGACUAC